AGACUGUCCUGAGGGAUCGCUGAAACCAGGCGUGAAGUCAGCAGCCAUGGUCGGGUGAUGGAUUGUAAUUCACCUGUGACUUGCCUGUGAUACAUGGAAGAGACCAAAGUGGCAAAGCCCCGAGUCCUGGGACAGCUUGGCUGGCAGAGAGAACCAGAGAGGGAGGCGGUGGCUUCAGAGGGCGGAUCCCACAGACCUGCAGCUGGAGGACCAGAGAGUUUUGGAAGGUUUAGGGCGGCGUGAUGGAUGACAAGAGUGAAGAUUCCAUGUCCGUCUCCACCUUGAGCUUUGGUGUGAACAGACCCACGAUUUCCUGCAUAUUCGACUAUGGGAACCGCUACCAUCUACGCUGCUACAUGUACCAGGCCCGGGACCUGGCUGCGAUGGACAAGGACUCUUUUUCUGAUCCCUAUGCCAUCGUCUCCUUCCUGCACCAGAGCCAGAAGACGGUGGUGGUGAAGAACACCCUUAACCCCACCUGGGACCAGACGCUCAUCUUCUAUGAGAUCGAGAUCUUCGGCGAGCCGGCCACAGUUGCUGAGCAGCCGCCCAGCAUUGUGGUGGAGCUGUACGACCAUGACACUUAUGGUGCAGACGAGUUUAUGGGUCGCUGCAUCUGUCAACCGAGUCUGGAACGGAUGCCCCGGCUGGCCUGGUUCCCACUGAUGAGGGGCAGCCAGCCGUCGGGGGAGCUGCUGGCCUCUUUUGAGCUCAUCCAGAGAGAGAAGCCGGCCAUCCACCAUAUUCCUGGUUUUGAGGUGCAGGAGACAUCGAGGAUCCUGGAUGAGUCUGAGGACACAGACCUGCCCUACCCACCACCCCAGAGGGAGGCCAACAUCUACAUGGUUCCUCAGAACAUCAAGCCAGCGCUCCAGCGUACCGCCAUCGAGAUCCUGGCAUGGGGCCUGCGGAACAUGAAGAGUUACCAGCUGGCCAACAUCUCCUCCCCCAGCCUCGUGGUAGAGUGUGGGGGCCAGACGGUGCAGUCCUGUGUCAUCAGGAACCUCCGGAAGAACCCCAACUUUGACAUCUGCACCCUCUUCAUGGAAGUGAUGCUGCCCAGGGAGGAGCUCUACUGCCCCCCCAUUACCGUCAAGGUCAUCGAUAACCGCCAGUUUGGCCGCCGGCCUGUGGUGGGCCAGUGUACCAUCCGCUCCCUGGAGAGGUUCCUGUGUGACCCCUACUUGGUGGAGAGUCCAUCCCCACAGGGUGGCCCAGAUGAUGUGAGCCUACUCAGUCCUGGGGAAGACGUGCUCAUCGACAUUGAUGACAAGGAGCCCCUCAUCCCCAUCCAGGAGGAAGAGUUCAUCGAUUGGUGGAGCAAAUUCUUUGCCUCCAUAGGGGAGAGGGAAAAAUGCGGCUCCUACUUGGAGAAGGAUUUUGACACCCUGAAGGUCUAUGACACACAGCUGGAGAAUGUGGAGGCCUUUGAGGGCCUGUCUGACUUUUGUAACACCUUCAAGCUGUACCGGGGCAAGACGCAGGAGGAGACAGAAGAUCCAUCUGUCAUUGGCGAAUUUAAGGGCCUCUUCAAAAUUUAUCCCCUUCCAGAAGACCCAGCCAUCCCCAUGCCCCCAAGACAGUUCCACCAGCUGGCCGCCCAGGGACCCCAGGAGUGCUUGGUCCGUAUCUACAUUGUCCGAGCAUUUGGCCUGCAGCCCAAGGACCCCAAUGGGAAGUGUGAUCCUUACAUCAAGAUCUCCAUAGGGAAGAAAUCAGUGAGUGACCAGGAUAACUACAUCCCCUGCACGCUGGAGCCUGUAUUUGGAAAGAUGUUCGAGCUGACCUGCACUCUGCCUCUGGAGAAGGACCUAAAGAUCACUCUCUAUGACUAUGACCUCCUCUCCAAGGACGAAAAGAUCGGUGAGACGGUCAUCGACCUGGAGAACAGGCUGCUGUCCAAGUUUGGGGCUCGCUGUGGACUCCCACAGACCUACUGUGUCUCUGGACCGAACCAGUGGCGGGACCAGCUCCGCCCCUCCCAGCUCCUCCACCUCUUCUGCCAGCAGCAUAGAGUCAAGGCACCUGUGUACCGGACAGACCGUGUAAUGUUUCAGGAUAAAGAAUACUCCAUUGAAGAGAUAGAAGCUGGCAGGAUCCCAAACCCACACCUGGGCCCAGUGGAGGAGCGUCUCGCUCUGCAUGUGCUUCAGCAGCAGGACCUGGUCCCGGAGCACGUGGAGUCACGGCCUCUUUACAGCCCCCUGCAGCCAGACAUCGAGCAGGGGAAGCUGCAGAUGUGGGUCGACCUGUUUCCGAAGGCCCUGGGACGGCCUGGACCUCCCUUCAACAUCACCCCACGGAGAGCCAGAAGGUUUUUCCUGCGUUGUAUUAUCUGGAAUACCAGAGAUGUGAUCCUGGAUGACCUGAGCCUCAUGGGGGAGAAGAUGAGCGACAUUUAUGUGAAAGGUUGGAUGAUUGGCUUUGAAGAACACAAGCAAAAGACAGACGUGCAUUAUCGUUCCCUGGGAGGUGAAGGCAACUUCAACUGGAGGUUCAUUUUCCCCUUCGACUACCUGCCGGCUGAGCAAGUCUGUAUCAUUGCCAAGAAGGAUGCCUUCUGGAGGCUGGACAAGACUGAGAGCAAAAUCCCAGCACGAGUGGUAUUCCAGAUCUGGGACAAUGACAAGUUCUCCUUUGAUGAUUUUCUGGGCUCCCUGCAGCUCGAUCUCAACCGCAUGCCCAAGCCAGCCAAGACAGCCGAGAAGUGCUCCUUGGACCAGCUGGAUGAUACUUUCCACCCAGAAUGGUUUGUGUCCCUUUUUGAGCAGAAAACAGUGAAGGGCUGGUGGCCCUGUGUAGCAGAAGAGGGUGAGAAGAAAAUACUGGCGGGCAAGCUGGAAAUGACCUUGGAGAUUGUAGCAGAGAGUGAGCAUGAGGAGCGGCCCGCUGGCCAGGGCCGGGAUGAGCCCAACAUGAACCCUAAGCUGGAGGACCCAAGGCGCCCCGACACCUCCUUCCUGUGGUUUACCUCCCCAUACAAGACCAUGAAGUUCAUCCUGUGGCGGCGUUUCCGGUGGGCCAUCAUCCUCUUCAUCAUCCUCUUCAUCCUGCUGCUGUUCCUGGCCAUCUUCAUCUACGCCUUCCCGAACUAUGCUGCCAUGAAGCUGGUGAAGCCCUUCAGCUGAGGACUCUCCUGCCCUGUAGAAGGGGGCGUGGGGUCCCCUCCAGCAUGGGACUGGCCUGCCUCCUCCGCCCAGCUCGGCAAGCUCCUCCAGACCUCCCAGGCCUGAUUGUCCUGCCAGGGUGGGCAGACAGACAGAUGGACCGGCCCACACUCCCAGAGUUGCUAACAUGGAGCUCUGAGAUCACCCCACUUCCAUCAUUUCCUUCUCCCCCAACCCAACGCUUUUUUGGAUCAGCUCGGACAUAUUUCAGUAUAAAACCGUUUGAACCACA
rnacentral:sRNA from 1 species